CGCAUGAACAACAGGACGGUUAAGUCCUCGAGUCAAAACGGGGCACGUCAGGCUUUCGUAAGGGACAAUUGAUUCGGGCAAAAAAGGGACAAAGGACCCCGACCGAUCAUGCAUCUACAUACAAGACUUCUAGCAACACUUGGGCGUCCGAUACUUGCAAGCUAAAUAAGCAAAGCAAGGGCGGACAUCCAUAGGAGCUUCAGGGUCUACGUCGCACAAAAAACUUUUUGCACGAGAUAGAGUAGGGCCCAUGGGACUAGAGAAUUCCAUCAAAAUAGGUAUGCUACACAGGGGGCCAAGCCAAUCCAAGGCAAAAUAUUUAGCACUCGGACAGAAUUGAAUAGGUUUGAACCAGCGGUUGUCGCUGCCAAGGCAGGGAACCAACCACCCGGAACAUACC
rnacentral:misc_RNA from 1 species